GCGGACGGGUGCGUAACGCGUAUGCAACCUACCCUUAACUGGAACAUAGCCCGGGGAAACUCGGAUUAAUUUUCCAUAGCAUAUCGAUGUCGCAUGGCAUUGAUAUUAAAGCUCAGGCGGUUAAGGAUGGGCAUGCGUCUGAUUAGCUUGUUGGUGAGGUAACGGCUCACCAAGGCAAUGAUCAGUAGGGGUUCUGAGAGGAUGAUCCCCCACACUGGUACUGAGACACGGACCAGACUCC
rnacentral:rRNA from 1 species